GUGCACGCUGGCGGUAGGCCUAACACCUGCAAGUCGAACGGCAGCACCGUAAGAGCUUGCUCUUCCGGGUGGCGAGUGGCGGACGGGUGAGGAAUACAUCGGAAUCUACUUUUUCGUGGGGGAUAACGUAGGGAAACUUACGCUAAUACCGCAUACGACCUACGGGUGAAAGCAGGGGAUCUUCGGACCUUGCGCGAUUGAAUGAGCCGAUGUCGGAUUAGCUAGUUGGCGGGGUAAAGGCCCACCAAGGCGACGAUCCGUAGCUGGUCUGAGAGGAUGAUCAGCCACACUGGAACUGAGACACGGUCCAGACUCCUACGGGAGGCAGCAGUGGGGAAUAUUGGACAAUGGGCGCAAGCCUGAUCCAGCCAUACCGCGUGGGUGAAGAAGGCCUUCGGGUUGUAAAGCCCUUUUGUUGGGAAAGAAAAGCAGCAGGUUAAUACCCCGCUGUUCUGACGGUACCCAAAGAAUAAGCACCGGCUAACUUCGUG
rnacentral:rRNA from 1 species